rnacentral:rRNA from 1 species
UACGUAGGGGGCAAGCGUUGUCCGGAUUUAUUGGGCGUAAAGAGCGUGUAGGCGGCCAGACAGGUCCGUUGUGAAAACUCGAGGCUCAACCUCGAGAUGUCGAUGGAAACCGUCUGGCUAGAGUCCGGAAGAGGAGUGUGGAAUUCCUGGUGUAGCGGUGAAAUGCGCAGAUAUCAGGAAGAACACCUAUGGCGAAGGCAGGUCUCUGGGCUGACACUGACGCUCAUGCACGAAAGCGUGGGGAGCAAACAGG